CAGAAACAGUUGUGGACUUAUGAUCAGAAAAAGGAGCAUUAUCAGCGGACUGUUAAACAGAGUUCUGACGACAGGAGGUGGCGAGAGAGAAAAAAACAAAGGGUUGUAUUGAGGCGAGCGGGACAAUCUUGGGCUCCCAUACAUUACCAGGUCUAUGCUACGGGGAAAUGUGUCCGGUUCCCGCUGGUGAAAUGUGAUCUGGAUGGAGCGGCACUGCUGGCCCUGUUGGACUGUGGCGGCUGCUUAUCUCCUGUCCUGGGGCUUCCUGAUCCCACCAAGAGGAAGGCAGGCUCCAGCACUCAGGAAUAUCAUCUCGGAGCACAUGUCUCCUCCUCCUCCUCCUCUAUAUGAAAGACAUUCCAUUGUUUCCGUCGCAGAAAUCUUGUUCACAUGUAGGAUUACCUGAUAACUACACAAGGUGAUGUAAAUACUGCCUUUCCAGACGUGGCGUACUUCUGUUCGCCCACGGUGCAUUUAGUGGAAUAUUUCCUUCUUUACAUAAUACAACAUUUCUCACA